rnacentral:other from 1 species
CGUCUCCUGCGGUGUUCGAUAUCGGCCUGGAUACCUUUCGACCCUAAAUCAUAACCUCGGGGUCGUGCACUGUCGGUGACAUUUGAGCAGGGCCACUUCGGUGGAAAGCCUGUUGUCGCCACGGCUGGCCCCACCUGUUGCUCCGGUUCGAGAGCGACGGACGGUAACGGCACAGGCGGGAGACGC